UACGGGGGGGGUAAGCGUUGUUCGGAAUUACUGGGCGUAAAGGGCUCGUAGGCGGCCAACUAAGUCAGACGUGAAACCCCUCAGCUUAACUGGGGAACUGCGUCUGAUACUGGAUGGCUUGGAUUCGGGAGAGGAAUGCGGAAUUCCAGGUGUAGCGGUGAAAUGCGUAGAUAUCUGGAGGAACACCGGUGGCGAAGGCGGCAUUCUGGACCGAUAUUGACGCUGAGGAGCGAAAGCCAGGGGAGCAAACGGG
rnacentral:rRNA from 1 species